UGGUGCUUAUAUAGUGAUUUUCUAUUUUCAUGUGGACUAAAGUAGUGGACUGACCAACAGACUGACAUUAACAUCAGAGCCGUGCUGCUAGUGUGGCUAAAAGAAAAGAGAAGAAGAGACAGUCAUGUUGAUAUGAACAUUAGAGAAACACAUCAUGGAGCUGAAAUAUGAUCCUGCUUCCUCAUUUGGACUCAUUCACCUCAGCUGACACAUUCAACAGCAGACAGGUUUUUGUAGCAGUCUGUUUCACUGUGGGAGGAUAUGGCUACUACAUCUUUGGCUCUGGAACUAAACUGUCUGUAACAGAUGAGCAGGUAGUGAAGCCCGUGGUGAGCGUGUACCCAGCAGCAUCCAGAGCCCACCUGGAGGGGAACAGCUCCCUGCUGUGUGUGGCCUCAGCCAUGUUUCCUCCUCUGGUCCAGUUCUCCUGGAAAAGACAGAAGAAGAACGGCGGAGAAGCGGAGGAGCUGCCCCUGCUGAGGGAGAGCAGCUGGAGCUCAGAGAGUCGGGACGCACCAUUGCCAUCAGGAUGGUUGAUGGGAGUGAUUCUGACACAUAUAAAUACAGCUGCUGGGUGAAGCACGAGGGGGGCACAGUGGAGGCCCAAACACAACAAGAGGUUCCAGCUCCAGCAGCCUCCUGUCCUCCAGAGAGAGAGCCAGCAGACCUGCCAGCUCUGCAGCCAGCUGACUUGUCCUUCCAGUCUCAGUGCAGGGUGAAGCUGCUCUGCCUGCUGUACACAGUGCUGAUAGUGAAGAGUCUGGUGUACUGCUGUGGACUCUCGCUGCUGAUGAUCCUCACAAACAAGGGACCGUCCACCAACUGCACACAUGCUGACUGACUGUUUUCUGCUCGCCUUUUCUCACCAUCAAAUCUCAUCAAUUCAUCUCAUUCAUCACUUUGAUCAGUAUCACAAAUGUUAGUUAUGAUGUGUUGUGCUUAUUUUGGCUUUUUAUUCAAUAGUUAGAAGAUCAUCUGAAAUAAAUACAUCUUUACAUGUAUUGUUA